UAUGCAUGUGCUGAAAUCACACCAAGAAGAUGGUACAGAGUAUUGUUCCUUGCCUCUAUCAGCCUGGUAUAAUGAAACAGAGGGAAGAUCCAGUGACUGUACUGUUGGCAAGUUUGUAGCAGAUUUUCUCCAAGGCUUAUUGAAGAACACAAAACUUUAUUAAAUGAGGCAGAAAUAAUGAAAGAUACAUGUGAGUCCCUUAUAAUUGCCAGUUAAAGAGAGUGAGGAGAAGGAAAAAUAAAGUAAAAUAAGAUAAGCAGGUGAGCAGAUGAAAGCAAGAGGAAGAAGAAAAAAAAGACAGAAGAAGGAAGACAGAGAGGAAGAACUGACCGGGGACAGGAGUGGGGCGGGAGGCAGAAGAGGAAAUAAAAAGGCAGAGAAGGAAAAGGAAGUUAGCAGGGAGAAAGACUUUGGAUAUUUUAAGAUAUUUUUUUAAAGGUCAUGCCCUGUUUUUUCUGUGAAUUAAAGAUUCAGGAAACAAACCUUCCUGUUUCAUGUGUGUUAUUCUUGUGUUCCUCAUCAGCGCUUAUUGUGUAUUAAGAUAAGAGUAUCUGCAAAGAGAAGGGGGUUGCAUCUAAAGGCUGGGGCCCUUUCCUUAAAGAAGAUGCAUGUCUUUUACACUUGAAAAAGGAAGUGAGACAGAGAGCCUUGGUCUUGCUCAAGAAGGACGCAAUCCAUGCAAGAGACAUAGUCUACAUAAAAGGGGGCUCUAGGAAAAAAGGCAUAUCUACAGCAAAUGAGAAGAAUCAGAUCCAGUUCCAUAUUUAUAUGCUGACAAAACCUACAUUAAACUGCUGCUUUAUUAACUGCAUUCAUUUUAAAUUUUUCUGUGAAA